AGCAACAGGGCCAGGAGAUGUGGGAGUGGGAGACACUAGAGUAACCUAUGUGCACAGCCUCUCCAUAUACCAUGUGCUGAUGCGCCUGCUAGUAAUCGACGACAUUAAGCAAGAGAAACAGCGGCUCCUCAAGUCCUGCCCAAAGACCGUCCAGAAACCCAAGCCUCCGGUCGCCUUCUCGCCGCCUCCGCUGGGAGCUGCAGAUCAGUUCAAGUUGACGGACAGGAGGCGAAAUGUGCAAAUGUUUAUGGAUGCCCACUGAAGCAGGUCCUCUUGGUGACACCAUUUUCUAUCUAAACGAAGAAAUGGAGGCAUGGAAGUUUCAUCUGUAUGGAAAAAGAGCUCUGGUUGCUUUGGCCAAGACUUUUCAGUAGCAAAUGCUUCAAAAUACAAAGCAAGAGCUAUUUUCAAGAAAGACCUUCUAAAUUUGUAUUAGCAGGAGAACUGACUAAUACAGUAAGCAUGGAAAACUUGGAUGCCACAUGUAGAAGAGUUGGAGCCACAAAAUAGAAGAAAGCUGGAUCCCUGAAUAUUGCUUGGAAAAAAGAGUUGAGAACCAAUCAGGAACAUCUGUGUUAGACUUUAAGUGAACAAGAGAUAAGCUUCUAUCAACUUUGUGCCAUUAUAUGUGUUGGAGUUGUUUUGUUACAGCAGCUAUUAGAUAUGUAAAUUGAUCUACCUACUGUCCUUUGAAAAUGCCUUUCCCUUAGAAUUCUCAUUCUCUCCUUCAGUUACUCACAUCCAAAAAUUAUUCAAGGCCUAAACCAAGUCCAAUCACCUUCAAGCAGCUUUCUUCCACUCCCACCCACCAUAGAGAUCUCGCUUUCCCUCAUCUUCCUGUAGCACUUUGUUAUGUAUACCUCUCAUGUGUACUUACCCCAGCUCCAAUUCUGGAUGUCUUGUUUUCCUAGUGAGAUUGUGAGCUCUUCAAGGUAAGGAUCAUGUCUUUGUGCUUCCUUCUUUUGUGACUCUGAAGU